rnacentral:ncRNA from 2 species
GACUCCUCAGCCAACUUGCUUCGUAUAAUCCCAAUGAUAUGGUUUGGGAGUUUCUACCAAGAGCCUUAAACUCUUGAUUAUGAAGUCUGUAACUUUAUGU